rnacentral:lncRNA from 1 species
CAGGAGGCUGAGGCAGGUAGAUCUCUGUGAGUUCAAGGCUCUCUUGAACCUCCUAUGGACCAUAUCCCAGGAUUAGUUAUUAGGACUGGAGAGGUGACACUGCAGUUUUGAGUGCCAGGGGCCUGGCUCCCAUGACUUCAAUCUGUGAUUCUGGAGAUUCGAUGCCUUCUUCUGACCUCCAAAGACACCAGGUACAUGUGGUACACAGACAUACAUAGAAGCAAAACAUUCAUACACAUAAAAUUUUUUAAGCUAAAAGAAAAACUUUAAAAUGUUUUUGAGCUAUUAGAUUCUCCUUGAAAGUUGUUUAAUUAUUCUCUCAAGAUAAUCAUG